rnacentral:rRNA from 1 species
AGCGAACGCUGGCGGCAGGCUUAACACAUGCAAGUCGAGCGGGCAUCCUUGUGGUGUCAGCGGCAGACGGGUGAGUAACGCGUGGGAACGUGCCCUUCGGUUCGGAAUAACUCAGGGAAACUUGAGCUAAUACCGGAUACGUGCGUGAGCAGAAAGGUUUAUCUGCCGAAGGAUCGGCCCGCGUCUGAUUAGCUAGUUGGUGAGGUUAUGGCUCACCAAGGCGACGAUCAGUAGCUGGUCUGAGAGGAUGAUCAGCCACACUGGGACUGAGACACGGCCCAGACUCCUACGGGAGGCAGCAGUGGGGAAUAUUGGACAAUGGGGGCAACCCUGAUCCAGCCAUGCCGCGUGAGUGAUGACGGCCUUAGGGUUGUAAAGCUCUUUUCUCCGGGACGAUAAUGACGGUACCGGAGGAAUAAGCCCCGGCUAACUUCGUG